rnacentral:rRNA from 1 species
UACGAAGGGGGCUAGCGUUGUUCGGAAUCACUGGGCGUAAAGGGCGCGUAGGCGGCUUUAUAAGUCGGGGGUGAAAGCCUGUGGCUCAACCACAGAAUUGCCUUCGAUACUGUAGAGCUUGAGACCGGAAGAGGUAAGUGGAACUGCGAGUGUAGAGGUGAAAUUCGUAGAUAUUCGCAAGAACACCAGUGGCGAAGGCGGCUUACUGGACCGGUAUUGACGCUGAGGCGCGAAAGCGUGGGGAGCGAACAGG